rnacentral:misc_RNA from 1 species
GAUGAAGAACGCAGCGAAAUGCGAUAAGUAAUGUGAAUUGCAGAAUUCAGUGAAUCAUCGAAUCUUUGAACGCACCUUGCGCCCUUUGGCCAUUCCGAAGGGCAUGCCUGUUUGAGUAUCGUGAACACCUCAACUCUCAUGGUCUGCCAUGAUGAGCUUGGACUUUGGGGGUCUUGCUGGCCUACUGUCAGCUCCUCUCAAAUGAAUCAGCUUACCAGUGUUUGGUGGCACCACAGGUGUGAUAACUAUCUACGCUUGUGGUUUUCUGCCAGGUAACCUCCAGUGAUGGAGGUUCGCUGGAGCUCACAAAUGUCUCUCCUCAGCGAGGACAGCUUUUUGAACGUUUGAUCUCAAAUCAGGUAGGACUACCCGCUGAACUUAAGCAUAUCAAUAAGCGGAGGA